CAGAGACACUGAGACAGUAACCACGCAGUGUCCUGUGCAUUUACUUCAGCCCAGCAGGCUGAAGCUUCUGAACCAGUAAUGUCAUAAAUGACUGGACUCAGCCAUUUAACAGACUGGCUAUAAAAUACCAGAUAUCACUGAAUUUCUGAAUUCCAGCAGGAAACACAAGGAGAAGUUCUAAAAUAUCACAAGAAAAGCAGAUUUCUGAACCAAGGUGUGCUGUGCAAUCUAUUAUUGAAGUCCAUGGAUACUUAAGAGGUUGGGAUGCUUCAGACCUGGUGCAGGUAGGGUCAAGUACCGUGGAGAGCAUUGAUGAGUUCAUCCACCUCAGCUGAUGAGUUCAUCCAACUUAGCUGCAAGCAGCAUUGAAAUGGUUGCAACAAACCAGAUGUUUUUCUUUCUGCCUCCUGCAUGAAGUCACUCUGAACACUAAAGGAGGCAGAAACAUCUUUGUGCUGAGACAAAGUUCAGGAGCUAUCAAAUCUAUGU